UACGUAGGGGCCUAGCGUUGUUCGGAUUCAUUGGGCGUAAAGGGUGCGUAGGUGGCAUGGUUAGUCGGGUGUGAAAUCCCGGGGCUCAACCCCGGAACUGCACUCGAUACUGCCGUGCUCGAGUACUGGAGAGGAGACUGGAAUUACGGUGUAGCAGUGAAAUGCGUAGAUAUCGUAAGGAAGACCGGUGGCGAAAGCUAGUCUCUGGACAGUCACUGACACUGAGGCACGAAGGCCAGGGAGCAACAGG
rnacentral:rRNA from 1 species